AGACGAGUGCGCGCUCUCCACAGACUGGUUGAGCGAGCGGGAGAGGCCCGGGGCACGUGCAGACGGGAGCCCCGCGAGUGGCGCGCCGGGGAUGUGAGUGCCCCUUGCCCUCUACAACACCUAGACCCCUCCCCGCCCACUGCCUCCAAUUUGGCAUAUUUAUAGUAAUCUGACCGGGCCCGCGCCCCUCCUCCUGUUCUCAGCCUGCAAGAGGCCGUGCUGGGCCCUGGUUUGCCUGAUUACAUCGGCCGCGGUUCCGGCUGAUCGCCUAGGGAGGCCCGACGCGCCCCAGAGCCUGCGCGCCUGCGGCGGUAGCGGAAGAGGCGCCCGCGUAGCGCCACGGCCCAGAGGGGCCGCCGCGCGGCCGCUUCCUGUUCGGCUGGUUCCAACCAGCUUGAGGACAAAACACGCGUGCGCGCGGCGACGAACGGGCAGACGCGCUCGCCGCCUCGGUCGCUGGCUCCCCGCGCAGUCCGCCGUUUUCCGGCCUCGGUGCUAAUCGGUAGCAGCACUCGUCGCAGCAUCUCCGCACUAGGGGACCGUGGGCUUUGGAAGGAGGCGGGGUUGACGGCUCUUUGCUAGAGUGGGCUGAACCGGACGGCAGAGACAAAGGCUUUCAAGGCAAGGGGGUCUGUGGCCCUGUGACGGCGCUGCUCGGGAUUUUUGACCCCAGGACUUUUCGCCCCUUCGUUUUUCUCUUCUAACGCUUCUCUCAUCCUAAGCCCGCGACCUCGCUCCUCACCGGGAGGGCCGCGAUGGAGGUUCCUCCCCGGCUUUCCCAUGUGCCGCCGCCAUUGUUUCCCUCCGCUCCCGCUACUUUAGCCUCCCGCAGCCUCUCCCAUUGGCGGCCGCGGGCACCGAGGCAGCUCGCCCCGCUCCUCCCGUCGCUUGCUUCCACCUCCGCCCGGCAGGGGGCGCGACGGCCCCAGCGCCACGUCACCGCCCAGCAGCCCUCCCGAUUGGCAGGCGGGGCGGCUAUAAAGGGAGGGCGCAGGCGGCGCCCGGAUCUCUUCCGCCGCCAUUUUAAAUCUAGCUCCAUACAACGCUCCGCCGUCGCUACCGCCACGACUCGAACUGCGCGCCAGCACCCCACAGCCGACAACUCCGCAACCAUGGAGGACAUGAAUGAGUACAGCAACAUAGAGGAAUUCGCAGAGGGAUCCAAGAUUAACGCGAGCAAGAAUCAACAGGAUGACGGUAAAAUGUUUAUUGGAGGCUUGAGUUGGGAUACAAGCAAGAAGGAUCUGACUGAAUAUUUGUCUCGAUUUGGGGAAGUUGUAGACUGUACAAUUAAAACAGAUCCAGUCACUGGAAGAUCAAGAGGAUUUGGAUUUGUGCUUUUCAAAGACGCUGCUAGUGUUGAUAAGGUUUUGGAACUGAAAGAACACAAAUUGGAUGGCAAAUUGAUAGAUCCCAAAAGGGCCAAAGCUUUAAAAGGAAAGGAACCGCCAAAAAAGGUUUUUGUGGGUGGACUGAGCCCGGAUACCUCUGAAGAACAAAUUAAAGAAUAUUUUGGAGCUUUCGGAGAGAUUGAAAAUAUUGAACUUCCCAUGGAUACAAAAACAAAUGAAAGAAGAGGAUUCUGUUUUAUCACAUACACAGAUGAAGAGCCAGUAAAGAAAUUGUUAGAAAGCAGAUACCAUCAAAUUGGUUCUGGGAAGUGUGAAAUCAAAGUUGCACAACCCAAGGAGGUAUACAGGCAGCAACAGCAACAACAGAAAGGAGGAAGAGGUGCUGCAGCUGGAGGAAGAGGUGGGACUAGGGGUCGAGGCCGAGGUCAGGGCCAAAACUGGAACCAAGGAUUUAAUAACUAUUAUGAUCAAGGAUAUGGAAAUUACAAUAGUGCCUAUGGUGGUGAUCAAAACUAUAGUGGCUAUGGCGGCUAUGAUUAUACUGGGUAUAACUAUGGGAACUAUGGAUAUGGACAGGGAUAUGCAGACUACAGUGGCCAACAGAGCACUUAUGGCAAGGCAUCUCGAGGGGGUGGCAAUCACCAAAACAAUUACCAGCCAUACUGAAGGAGGACAUUGGCAUAAACAGCGGGAACUUCAUUGCAGGCCGUGUGUCACCCUGACCACGUCUAUCUCUGGGGGUCGCACGUUGCGGGCAGAGCGCAAGGCAUACACCAGAAAACGCUGUCCUGUGGGGGAGAUUGCUAAAGUAACCCAUCUUGCAGGACGAUAUUGAAGAUUGGUCUUCUGUUGAUCUAAGAUGAUUAUUUUGUAAAAGACUUUCUAGUGUACAAGACACAAGUGUGUCCAACUGUAUAUAGCUGCCAGUUAGUUUUGUUUUUACUUUGUCUUUUGCUAUCUGUGUUAUGACUGGAUGUGGAUUUGUGUUUAUACAAAUUUUUUUUGUAUGAUUUCAUGUUAAAACCUCAAAUAAAUGCUUCCUUUGUGAUUGUUUUUCUGCGUCGGGUACUAAAUAGCUCUGUAAAAUAAUUUAAAUAAGCAAUAAUUAAGGCCCAGUUCAUUUUGUAGAGAGUAUCGUCUAUAGGAAAAAACUGUGGUCCUUUAUGAAUAGCCAGCUACAGUGUCACCCUGUUCCCUAUUUUUGUUAGAUGCAUUCUGUGUUCUAAGUCCUCAUUUUUCCUGUUGGUUAACCGAGAUUUCCACCACACCUUUAAAUGUUUCCUUUAUCUGGAGAUGCUAUCGUGCUGUCCUUAGUGAAAGCUUUGUGUAGUAGACCUUGAGUUCUCUGGAUUAUAGUUUGGAGAUAAUGUACCUUUUAAAGCAUGUUGGUAGCUUUGAUGAGUAGAAAAGAUUUUGCUUUGUUCCUGUCUGGAAAGCCAUUUGCUAAAUGCAUCUAAUUUAAUAGUCUGCUAGGAGGAGCUUUGGCUACCCAUGAUGUCAUGACUUUAAAUGUUCUCUUGAUGAUGACCAGAUACCCAGGGAAGAAGGACUGUCAAACUGAUAGUAGCUACAUCAAAAGUGAUUACAUUAUAACACAAGGACUUCACAGGUUUGAAAUUAUACUAAAGUUGGAACAAAAGUUCUGGUGAAGUCUAAUUUACUUGUACUGUUAUGUUACAGCAAGCACCAAACAAUAAAUUACUUUCUUUCUUUGGGGGCAUACUUAGAAAGUUCUAUUGAGUGUUAACUAUGAUGUGUGAGUUUUUAGAAAAAGUCAUGGUAGUCUCAAUAUAAUGCAUUAAUUAGUGCAUGAGCCAAGUAGGUAAGCAUACUCACAUUCAGACGCAGGAAGACCUAGUAGGAAAGGUACAGUUCAGUCUUAAGUAUGUAAAUGCAAAUCUUAAGUGACCAGAUCCUGUCAUGGCAGAUCUUCAUGGUGCAUUAAAAAGCAGUUUUAACCCUAGACUUUUUGAGGGUUUCCUUGGUAAAAUCCAAGCUUUGAAUUUUAUAUUUAGUGGAAUUUAGUUUUGAAGUUACAUUUUGUGGUUCCACGUUGGCCACUGGGGUUUGGGACACAUACUACAUGCAGAGUAGUUGACUUCAUUUUCAAAUAUGAAUUUACACCGUUUGAACCUGUGUCUUGGUGCCUGAAAAUUUGUUCCAAUGAUGUUUGUACUUGCUGGGCUUUCAAGCUAUAAAUACCCUUGGCCUUGUUCUGCUAGUUGCUAUUUGACCUUAACCUAAGGCUGAGUACAAUGUUGGCUAUUGGAAGGGAUUCUGUAUUUGAAUAUGCAACCUUAGGCAACAGAUUUUCAUUUUAUGUUAAAGUCAGUAGGUGCAGUGUCUUCAGGGCAGUGAAUCCUGUACAUUUAAAUUGAUUAGGUGACAAGUUGAUGUUGAGAUUGUCCUCCCUGAUAAAUGAAUAAAAGCUUUUUAAACAAAA